GACGAACGCUGGCGGCGUGCUUAACACAUGCAAGUUGAACGGAAAGGCCCUGCUUUUGUGGGGUGCUCGAGUGGCGAACGGGUGAGUAACACGUGAGUAACCUGCCCUUGACUUUGGGAUAACUUCAGGAAACUGGGGCUAAUACCGGAUAGGAGCUCCUGCUGCAUGGUGGGGGUUGGAAAGUUUCGGCGGUUGGGGAUGGACUCGCGGCUUAUCAGCUUGUUGGUGGGGUAGUGGCUUACCAAGGCUUUGACGGGUAGCCGGCCUGAGAGGGUGACCGGCCACAUUGGGACUGAGAUACGGCCCAGACUCCUACGGGAGGCAGCAGUGGGGAAUAUUGCACAAUGGGCGGAAGCCUGAUGCAGCAACGCCGCGUGCGGGAUGACGGCCUUCGGGUUGUAAACCGCUUUCGCCUGUGACGAAGCGUGAGUGACGGUAAUGUGUAAAGAAGCACCGGCUAACUACGUG
rnacentral:rRNA from 1 species